rnacentral:lncRNA from 15 species
UAAUUCCUUCUAGGGCAUGUCUACUCAUGCUCGAGUGAAAACCUGACACCACACGAUCUGGAGUUUCUUUUCAAAUGCAGAGGAUGUGCUCGCUGAGUGUUCUUCCACACAACACAUCCUCUAGAGCUCCAACACAUUAAAUGAAGCCAAACCCAAACAGAAGCACCAGAGAAAGCUACAGUGGAUGAAAGACAUUUAUGAGAGCGCCAUGAUCAAAGUGAUGAGUUUCUACUCUGGUGUGAGGGCACGGCAUGUUUAUGGCUGGGUUUCCAUCAUCUGGUUCAUUUCGGCAGUCAGGAUCGCUGUCAGUGAAGAUGUGCCCCUGCAGACCGUUUCCGAGGUGGUGGCACAGUGCGGAGAAAAUGUGACACUGCCAUGUGGGGUCACCAUGCAAAGCCAGUUGGAUAUUAAAUUAUUUUCCUGGGUGCGUGGAAAUAAAUUGUGUACAUACGAGGACAGUCAGCUUGACCCUGAGGUUCUGUGUGAAAGCACGGAAGACACUCCCAACCACAGACUCAGUAUGACUCUACUAAAUGUGAUGCCAGUCGACCAGGGAGAGUACUUCUGCAAACUACGUUCCAAAGUGGGUGUAGGUUUUGCCAAAACUUUAGUUACAGUACAAGACUGCUUUGAAAAUUCUAAGUCCUACAUCCAAAAGACUCAUGCUACGUGCCAGUUCAGGGGAGUUUACCCCAGUGGCACCGUCCACUGGUUCCAGGGAGAUGUUAACUUAACAGACUCUGCCAUCACACAGGAAGAGGAGGACCAGUAUGGACGGUACGAUGUCAUGAGUACAAUAGAUGUCCAGAAAGGAAAAAGCGAGCCCUACAGAUGCUCACUGUGGAUACCUUCUGUCGGGAAGAAUCUGCACGCUCAAGAGCUACCUAUGGUUAAGGCACUGGAGUCAUCAGGAAGCAUGGUGAGAGUGCAAUGGAUCUGUAUAAUGGUGGAAAUCAUGGUGGUGAAAUUUAUGAAAUAAAGGAAACCAACGGGUAGAUGAUUUUGUUAGACAGCAUUUGGAAAAGUUGAAAUAUGAAAAUAAUAAAAACAGAAAUGAAAAUGAGCCAAUGAUUGAAGCAGGGAAUUAUUGGGGAUUAGGUGUUCUAGACUUUAUGUUUUAUCCAACGCAGGCACAGAUCAGCAUUUAGUGUAUGUGCAGUCUAAGAGGGUGUGUGCUUGAGAGGGAGAGCUUGUUUUAAUUCAGAAUGUCAGUCACUGAUAUUAUUCAAUGAUAUUAUGCAAUGAGUGUGAACUUUGAGAGGAGAGAGAACUUUCACUGAUUAAACGAUUUACAGUUAACCUAUUUCAUAUUUCAUAUUCAAUCUUGUUUCACUUGUGGUAUUAAACCUUCACUUCAUCCUGGUGGCCAGAGGGAGGCAGUCUUCACAUACAAGAAUCCUAACUGAUUUACUGCUUUUACUCAACUCUUGCAUUGUGUAAAUGUAGAGGAGAGGUCCAUUCAGUACUCUAAAUUCAUUCCAAAUACAUGUUCACCGAAGGAGAGGAAACGUGCCCACUUUAGUACUUAGGCAACAAAAGAAAAAAAAAGGAUUUAAGAUCCUUUAUGCAGACAUGAUUUAUGUGAGUGGCUUAUCAGUUAACUGAAGGGCAACAGGCACAUCUAAAAUCUACAAUACAGGGAUCAAAUAAACAGAUUAGGGACACAAUGAUUAUAAUAAAUUGAUUGAUUGUAUGAUUAUCUUUUUUUGUUUUGUUUACCAUUUUCCAAGAUGUUUUUGAAAUUCAGCUACUGUUGAUCUAUACAAAAUGUUGUAUAGUAUAUUGAGGGAUGUUUGGUUUUUAAAAUCUGCUUUGUAAUUAUUCUCAAUAAAAGUGUAAAAUAUAACACAUUUCAUGCAGGUAUGCUUUGUGAUAAUAUGUCAUAUAAACCCCUCCUACAAAAGAACUAAGUGAGCACUGUUAAUGUGUGAACACCGGCUCUUCUGACUAGAUGUGUUGGCUCAUGUAUGGUGAGACUGUGUGUCUGUGAUAAGUUUAUUUUGUUAUACAAGUUCAGACAUCUGUAUACUCCUCACUGUACGUCACUGCAAUUGUUGCUGCCUUCAGAGAUGUUCAGGCAUGCAGUCCUUCAGGCAAACCACAGUGUUGCCACAGUAUCUCACCUGGUAGAGCGGGCACCCCGCAUGUACAAACGCCAGGUCAAGUAAAGGUGACCACAAAACUGCUGAAUGUGCUUUGUAAUUUCUCUGCUCGGUGGUGCAAGUCUCAAAUUACGGCCAGAUUAUGCUCAAGUGGGUGUUAAGUAAACAGUAACGAAUGGUCUGUUUUGUUUUCUUUGCCACUUUAUUGGUAUGCAUUUCAUCAGAUAUUACCAUCCAAAUUCGGAAGAUCUGAUAAAGUCUUGUGUAUGAGUGGUACAACAUUCAGUGGAUAGUUUACAUUUAAGUGCAAGAGAUGAGCCACUGAGAUAAAAUUGCGGUAAAUAUAAAUAUCCUAAGCCUAGCAAGCAAGGGCAUGUGCAGGUAUUGUGUUGCACAAUUACGUUUUCAUGUGUGGUUUUCAUAACUGCAAAGGUGGUUAUUAGAAACAAAGCCAUUAAAAGAAACCUAAACACAAGGCUCAAACUGAAGAAAGUAAAAACCGACGCAUGCAACACAGGUAACUGCAUUAAAUUCAAUGUAUGUUGUAUGCAUGAGAAUAUAAAAUGUGCUUCUUAAACCUGCUGCUCCACAGAGUCAGAAAAACAAUAGAUUCCCAGCCCCAGGACUUUUGACUUGGUAAACCAAGCUACUGGAGCAGGAGAGGCAGUUAAGAGGCAAGAGAACAUGACCUGAGGAGACCCCGCUGAGAGCAGAUACACACUACAGAUUAGUUACUAAGGACAGAACACAGAGACUGGAUUUAUUUGCUCUCGUAGAGCGACACCACAGAUUGAUUAAGGCUCUUUGGAGAUCAAGAGACAGGCGAGCAGGCAAUAGAUCUUUUCAAUAAAUGUGAGUGUUUAAGUGCAGUGUGUGUUUGUGUCUGUGUGUCCGUGUGUGUGUGUGUGUGCAUGUAACAUGUGUUUACCCUCACUGUUAGAAAACAAAAUAUAUAACCUUUAGUCAUUUAGGCCUAAUAUGUCAAUGGCACACUCAUAUAAUGGUACAUUCUAUAUGACCAUACAUGUAGAAAUGCACAGAGUUUAUCUCUAUGAAUCCUUAAAGGAAUAGUUUGACAUUUAGGGAAAUAUGAUUCACUUUCUUGCCCAGAGUUAGAUGAGAGGUUUGAUAUCACUCUCAUGCCUGUACAGUCAUUAUGUAGGUAUUACCAGGAGCUGGUUAGCUUAGCUUAGUAAACCAUGCUACUGCUGGCUUAGUGUAGCACGUUGAGCUUUUUAAUUGUUGUCACCCAGCUGAUAUCAGUGAUACACCUGCACCAUAAUUAUUGGGUGGCAGCGUUCAGACAUCCAGCGAAAGUGCUACUAAUAUUACUAAGGACUACUGCUACAUAAGUGUCUAUGAAUGUGUCUAUAAGAAAUUGUGCAAUAUUUUUAUUUGUAAUAUAUUUCAGCAGUUGCGGUGCAUUUUAAAGUUUUGACUGUGGCGUUUGCACAAAGACUAAACAACUGGUUGUUUACUCUGGUUUUUGUUUCAACAAACAAGAUAUAACAUGUUUUUUUUGUGAGGUGGUGGUAAGUGGGUUUGUUCAUUUUGGACAGUGCCAGCCUUGCUGUUUCCUCCUGUUCCCAGUCUUUAUGCUUUGCUAAGAUAACUAGAUGCUGGCUGUAGCUUCUUCUACUGUUGUGAUUGUUAUCAUUCUUCUCAUCUAUCUCUCAGCCAGAAAAUAAAUAUGAGUGUCUCCAAUAAUGUGAAUGUUUAUCUUUCAUAACAGCAACAAUAUUCAUAAACUGCGGUGAACAAAACGUUUUGUGUAGAAAAUAGGGGCUGUUUUAUCUUAAUGGGAACAGUUAAGUUAUUUAAAAUAAAAAAACUCUAAUCUGUGACAUUCAUGUGCAAAUAACUGUUUGUCUAUUUCAAGUAGAGGAUAUUAACCUGCCUGAUGCUUCUCCUGAUGUGUCAUAAAUAAUGAAAUAAUCUGUUAAUAACAAGAGCCAACUGUAGGUGUAUGUUUGCAAAACACUGUCAUCUACAAACCGAUCAUUUGUGAAACAAAACACCUUUUGCCCUGAGUUUGAAACAUUAGUCAUCCCCAAGAUGUUUCCAGGCUUUGCUGUCCCUCAACCUUCAGGUCUGAAUUGAUUCUUCUCCUAUCUAGAUAAAACACUGUUGCCAUGGUGAACUGAAGCUGCUGAAGCCUCACAUACAGACAAUUUAUUGGCUUUUGUUUUUCUUCUUUUGGUGGAGAAAAUGGUUCUUCUGAAAGAGGAGCAAUUAGAUAUGUUUGGCUUUCAAAGGCACUCUACAAGGAGCAAUCCCAUUCUUCAUCAAACAGACGUCAGUCUCACCUGGGAUAAAUUACAUUUGCUUUUAGUUGAAGUUGUGUGUUGGAGUUCAAUGGGCAGUACCUGGAAAUAUAGGGGGGUUGUAGUUUCAUACGGAGCACUUCAUGUAUCUGGGGAAGCAUCAAUCAGAAAAGCAAUUCUAUCAAUAAAUUACCUAAUUUAUUGAAAUGUCUUUUGACACCAGUGUGUUUACUCAAACUACAUUCUAAGGUAACAAAAAUACAACGAUUCUUAUUUUCAGGUGAUUAUAAACUUCAAAACAUGAAUAUUAUAUUCCAUUUCUGCUAAUAGAUACUCCUAAAUAUUACACACCAGACCUCUAAGGGUAGACAUAUUUCAUGUUUCUGUUAACUUUAACUCUCUGCAGAGGAAACAGCAUGCAGUUGAACAAUCCAAACUUUGUCAGACAGUGUAUAAGAACAUGCACACACACACACACACACACACACACACACACACACAAAUACCUGCCGAGAGCUGUUGGGUAGGCGGUGGAUUUCGCCCAGGGCAGUUUUCUUUUCAACGUGACAAU